GCCUGGGUGGCUCAGUCGGUUGAGCAUCUGACUUCAGCUCAGGUCAUGAUCUCACAGCUCAUGAGUUCGAGCCCCAUGUCAGGCU
rnacentral:tRNA from 1 species